rnacentral:rRNA from 1 species
UACAGAGGUGGCAAGCGUUGUUCGGAAUUACUGGGCGUAAAGGGCGCGUAGGCGGUCUGGUCAGUCCCGUGUGAAAUCCCUCGGCUCAACUGGGGAACUGCACGGGAAACAGCCGGGCUUGAGUUCGGGAGAGGGAAGUGGAAUUCCGGGUGUAGCGGUGAAAUGCGUAGAUAUCCGGAGGAACACCGGUGGCGAAGGCGGCUUCCUGGACCGAAACUGACGCUGAGGCGCGAAAGCUAGGGGAGCAAACAGG